GCGCACGCACGGCGGUCUGUCAAGUCGGAUGUGAAAUCCCCGGGCUCAACCUGGGAACUGCAUUCGAAACUGGCAGGCUAGAGUCUUGUAGAGGGGGGUAGAAUUCCAGGUGUAGCGGUGAAAUGCGUAGAGAUCUGGAGGAAUACCGGUGGCGAAGGCGGCCCCCUGGACAAAGACUGACGCUCAGGUGCGAAAGCGUGGGGAGCAAACAGGAUUAGAUACCCUGGUAGUCCACGCCGUAAACGAUGUCGACUUGGAGGUUGUGCCCUUGAGGCGUGGCUUCCGGAGCUAACGCGUUAAGUCGACCGCCUGGGGAGUACGGCCGCAAGGUUAAAACUCAAAUGAAUUGACGGGGGCCCGCACAAGCGGUGGAGCAUGUGGUUUAAUUCGAUGCAACGCGAAGAACCUUACCUACUCUUGACAUCCAGAGAACUUUCCAGAGAUGGAUUGGUGCCUUCGGGAACUCUGAGACAGGUGCUGCAUGGCUGUCGUCAGCUCGUGUUGUGAAAUGUUGGGUUAAGUCCCGCAACGAGCGCAACCCUUAUCCUUUGUUGCCAGCG
rnacentral:rRNA from 1 species